rnacentral:rRNA from 1 species
GCAGAGUUUGAUCUUGGCUCAGAUUGAACGCUGGCGGCAGGCGUAACACAUGCAAGUCGAACGGUAACAGGAAGCAGCUUGCUGCUUUGCUGACGAGUGGCGGACGGGUGAGUAAUGUCUGGGAAACUGCCUGAUGGAGGGGGAUAACUACUGGAAACGGUAGCUAAUACCGCAUAACGUCGCAAGACCAAAGAGGGGGACCUUCGGGCCUCUUGCCAUCGGAUGUGCCCAGAUGGGAUUAGCUUGUUGGUGGGGUAACGGCUCACCAAGGCGACGAUCCCUAGCUGGUCUGAGAGGAUGACCAGCCACACUGGAACUGAGACACGGUCCAGACUCCUACGGGAGGCAGCAGUGGGGAAUAUUGCACAAUGGGCGCAAGCCUGAUGCAGCCAUGCCGCGUGUAUGAAGAAGGCCUUCGGGUUGUAAAGUACUUUCAGCGGGGAGGAAGGGAGUAAAGUUAAUACCUUUGCUCAUUGACGUUACCCGCAGAAGAAGCACCGGCUAACUCCGUGCCAGCAGCCGCGGUAAUACGGAGGGUGCAAGCGUUAAUYGGAAUUACUGGGCGUAAAGCGCACGCAGGCGGUUUGUUAAGUCAGAUGUGAAAUCCCCGGGCUCAACCUGGGAACUGCAUYUGAUACUGGCAAGCUUGAGUCUUGUAGAGGGGGGUAGAAUUCCAGGUGUAGCGGUGAAAUGCGUAGAGAUUUGGAGGAAUACCGGUGGCGAAGGCGGCCCCCUGGACGAAGACUGACGCUCAGGUGCGAAAGCGUGGGGAGCAAACAGGAUUAGAUACCCUGGUAGUCCACGCCGUAAACGAUGUCGACUUGGAGGUUGUGCCCUUGAGGCGUGGCUUCCGGAGCUAACGCGUUAAGUCGACCGCCUGGGGAGUACGGCCGCAAGGUUAAAACUCAAAUGAAUUGACGGGGGCCCGCACAAGCGGUGGAGCAUGUGGUUUAAUUCGAUGCAACGCGAAGAACCUUACCUGGUCUUGACAUCCACGGAASUUUYCAGAGAUGGRAWUGUGCCUUCGGGAACYGUGAGACAGGUGCUGCAUGGCUGUCGUCAGCUCGUGUUGUGAAAUGUUGGGUUAAGUCCCGCAACGAGCGCAACCCUUAUCCUUUGUUGCCAGCGGUCCGGCCGGGAACUCAAAGGAGACUGCCAGUGAUAAACUGGAGGAAGGUGG